rnacentral:rRNA from 1 species
GAACGCUGGCGGCGUGCUUAACACAUGCAAGUCGAACGAACCUUCGGGUUAGUGGCGGACGGGUGAGUAACGCGUGGGAAUCUGCCCUCAGGAGGGGGAUAACGGCCGGAAACGGCCGCUAAUACCCCAUAUGCCGAGAGGUGAAAUGAAUUUCGCCUGAGGAUGAGCCCGCGUCUGAUUAGCUAGUUGGUGAGGUAAGAGCUCACCAAGGCAUCGAUCAGUAGCUGGUCUGAGAGGAUGAUCAGCCACACUGGGACUGAGACACGGCCCAGACUCCUACGGGAGGCAGCAGUGGGGAAUUUUCCGCAAUGGGCGAAAGCCUGACGGAGCAACGCCGCGUGAGGGAUGAAGGCCUCUGGGCUGUAAACCUCUUUUAUCAAGGAAGAAGAUCUGACGGUACUUGAUGAAUAAGCCACGGC